CGGAAGUUCUACCAGAAGCUCAACGAAUCCCGUAACGGCUGUGCAGGGAUAAGGACGGAGACCUUGUCACCUUCCACUAGAAAGGUCGCAUGAGACGGAGACAAAUUAGGUAAUAAAGGAAGCUGGUGGUACUGGUCCCCUUACCCACGUACCAGCAUCAGCCUAAAGAGAGGUUCGAACUAGUGGAACCAUUGACGAAUUAUUAAUCGGGUGAAUCCAUAUCAAAAUAAAAGCAUAAAUUUCACAUGAUAAUAGAAAUGGUGUAUUUUAGUACUUACGAUUUAUUGAUGCUCAACCUACGUUGUAACCUAUUGUUAGAAUGUGGAUGGGUGUCAGAGUUUUGCAGUGUAUCCCGCGACGAUCCCGGUCGACAUGCAUGUCCGGACAGAAGUGACACCACUGAGCUGAUGCCAGACACUCCAGCUCUAGCACCUCGGGCCAUGAUCACGCCAGGACACUGGCAGUCUUCUCACCCAGAAGCAGGCUUGACAGAAACUCCCUCGCGAGAAAAUGAGUAAGCGAUUUCGGCGAUUUUCUGAGGAGGUAAAAUAAAACUCAGAAAUCACAACGCAAAUCCUCAACAGCAUCGAGCGUGAGCUUGCCGCGCAGCGAGGAGUUCGUCCAACACUCAUAAUUGUUUGUUGUGUUUCUCACGUCCACUCACACUCAAAAAGCUCUCGCGAGUUCCACUCCCAUACAAAGAAAGACUCUCGAGGCGAAAAUCGCACUCAAAAACCCGAAAAUUUCAUCAGCUCUUUUUUCGUUCCCCUCUUCCUCGCUCAGUUUUUUUUGCCUCUCUGUUUGGGGUUCGUUCGCUCCCUCGCGACGAGGCAAAAGCAAAACACCGCUCUAGAGCAUGUUGCAAAACUCUUUUGAUUUCGAGGAGGAUUAUCAAGCCUGCCCAGAAGUUGGAUAUGAAGAAAAGGCCUAAUAGAAAGACACCAAGUAUGACUUAAUACCAUCUCACAGGAACACAUCACACUUUGGGAGUUGUUUUAGGCAUUUGAGAAACACUCUUACCGAUCUCAUUAUAAUUUCCACUCUACUCCAUAUUUGCUCGUCCGAGCCCUAUGCAAAAGAUGGUGAACAUCUGUGACUUGCGUUAAGUUAGAUGAAUUUCACCACAUAAGCACUUGCCAAUAUUCAAAGUUCUACACCGGCCAGGCAAGAGAAUCUGUAACCGUUGGUUCCAAUGUUACUUGCUGGCUCCACCAUCAAUCCCAUUUUCCUCCCGAAAACAAUAGACCCUUUCCAUAACUUUAACUAGGAACUGUCCAAACUCACUGGUUGAUGAGUCACGAGUGAGAAGCGUUCCACUUUCAACUCAUACCAGGUCUCAAAAGCGUAUAUACCGGGGUAGUGUGAACAAGACCUAAAAAGAAACCCUAGGCAAAUUCAAGUACCAAUCCACAGAUGGCGCAUAGGUGAAACAUGGUUGCCAAAACACAACAUAAAACAUAGAUGUCAAAUCCAACCUCAGAGAAAGUGGAUUUCUUAUAAAAGGCUGGAUUUGACCAGAAUUUCCCUCUUUGUCCACAACUGAUUCCCAAAUAGUGUAGUGCGCGUAUUGUGUUAAUUCUAAUGGUCAGAACAAUAGACCACCGCAUGGUGAAACUUAUAUUAACUUUUGGUUUCUUUUCUUAAAUAAAAUAGGGUAAAACUUAAAAUACGGUUGUAAACGUUAAAAAAAAACUGUGUUAGUAAAAUGUGUUAGUGUUAAAACGGUUAGUGCGAACAAAAAAAAAGCAAAUUGUAACCUAAAACUAAUUGUUUAAAACUUAUAGCUAUGAAACAGUUAGACAAAGAACAUCGAAAGAACAGAACACUAAAACAGGUUAAAACGCAAGAAAAAGCGGACGGAUCUUCCGUCGGCACUAACAUCGCCGAUUCCCAGUGCAUAGCGGCGGCGCACAUCGGCGCAGCGACCGCCAUUUUGAAACCCCUGAUGACGUCAGAAGCCCGCCAUUGGUCGAAACACUGCCAAUAAUCAUCCGCUUGGAAGUUGGGAACCCUUCCUCGCUUCCGUUGGCAACCUGCUGGAGUUUCAUCUGGUCCGGCAAACCGCUGGCGAUUUAUUACAAGGCUUCUCAUCUACCAGUGACGCCCCCCCCUUUUUCUACGAUGGGCCACCGUCUGGCCCGAAUCUGCCGUGAAAUCAUCAUGCCAACGAUCACCAUGCCGGCAGAGGUCGGAAAGAUACAUCCGGCGUACCUAACCUCAAAUAUCCCACCGGCAAAGGCUGGUCAGAGACCACAGCGUACCAUCCACCGGCUGCGAAAGAUCCGGAUCGGCCACAAACACCUACAAAAUUCCGCAAGUAUUAUCACCCUAGCUAAUGUGACGUCAUAGAUUAGAAUAAACUAUGUAUGUAUUUGUAAAAUGAAUUAGCCUCAGCGGUAGUCAGCUUAUUUAUGAAAGCAGCCCUGGGUAAUGUAACUUUCACCUUUCUUAUUAGUUUUCGUCCACUUUGUUACUCUCAUUCCUCGCUAUUUAGUAAGAUCAUUUGUGUUCAUUGAUAUUCCCCUCCCCCCUUUGUAUGUUUGUGCAGUUUGGUUGACCACUGUUCCAUUAAAACAGCAUCUUUGGCAAGGUUUUCACCACCAACAGUUCCUACUCAUAUUGAUACGGCUCCACGGCUUGUGUAUGAGGGAAAGUAAGCUUUGAACGACCCUGAAAUCCCACCCUAUGAGUUAGCACGUUACAAUUGGCGCCCAACAAAAAUUACGUCAUAUACCUCAUAUGCCUCCAAACUUCCCGGAAGGGGAGGUGAAAACAGAGCCCUGUCUUGCUUGUCUCUUCGUUCUUCUAACGAAGGUUUUUUCAGAACCACAGAUUUUGUUCACAAAAUACUAGAAUGUCCGCUUAUCUGUGAACGGGAUCGUGAUUCUAAUCGUACUCUUCAAAAUGUAAAUAGUUCAGUUAAUUUAGAAAUUUUUCAAUUAUGCAUGUGAAUGUGUUAGUAAAUAAGGCAUGAAUCGCGCGCGAAAUGUAUAUAGAAUAAUCAAUUUAGGAAAUUACAACACGCUUGCUUUGAAAUAGUUUUGUUCAAUGUGUAUCAUCAUUUAGAAUUUUCGAAUACGCGAGAUUAUUAGGCUUUUUUUUUAAAUUUAUUUCCAAAUUUAUUGAAAAUUUCCGGAUUUUAGACGAAUCCGUGAACUAGAAAAUAAAUCCGAACUGAAUUAUGACCGCGAUGCAAAUAUUAGAUUGGGAACAUCUGUUCCGAAGACGAACCGUAGAAACAAUCACGCGAACUUAGCCACGAUUGACGAACAAUGCGAUGUUUGACGAUCGAACCCGAGAAUCCGAUGUCCAGUAUUCUUGGAACAAGAUUCCAAGAUCAAUUCAAGAUUCUACCGCGAACAGAAUAAGGAAGAACACCGGCAGUUCUUCGAGACUAUCUAUCACCGUAAGGCAGGAAGUCCCCCGGUUGAAUUACGGACGAGGUCUAACACAAUUAGAAUAUCAAAAUAAAAACGAAAAUAAUCGUCGCGAAAACAUCGUUAAAAAGGAGCCAGGCCGAAACUUUGUGCCUGUCUAGUAUCGAAAUGAGGGAGAUACUCACCUCAAUUAUCCGGGUAUACGCGACGACAGUAAUCCCGAUCAAAACGUACAUCCUACUCAGCCUAAAACAGCUAAUUGAAUGCAAGAAUGAUCACCGUUGUUUUCAUUGAAAAACAGGUGAAAGACCGAAGGCACAACGUAAACAUUCCCACAAUCAGAAGAACCCCCACCUACUCCAAUCAUAAUAUAUUUCAUGUUUCCUUUUUCUCCUACAAAGAUAGCGAGAGUAAAUCAUUUUUUUUGCUCGGGUCUCCAAGAGGAACCUGAGGUAAUCAGCGGUGAAGACCGUCAAACUUGUUGGUAGAUUCCUCGUACAUGUGCAUAUUCGAUGCGAUCGGUACGAGAUCUAUGUAGUUGUCCUUGACCGGGACCAGUACAGCGGAAGCGAUCUGGCGAUUAGAUAUAUCCCGGCAGGAUACGAGACUGGACGAACGUAGUCCAACCCUAGAAUCAUGAUUCAAUAUGUUAAUGAAGAUCUUCAAAUUAGUCGUUCGAGAAUUGAACACUUACCAUUCAUAGAGGUCCGGACCCCUCAUUCAAGAGAUUGCCUGAUUGAUAAAUCCUGACAGGUAGACAAAUAAGUUGAUGGUAUGUUUACAAACACCUGGUUUGCAGGGUAAAAUCUCAAAAUUACCUUCGCAAGAGAAACUUCUUUGCUUCGCUGAUUUGUAAACAUGAAAAUGGCAAGUAGACCGGUUAUUGAUUCCGAAAUCGCGAUAGGAUAUGCGCACAUCCUAGUUUUUUAGAACUUUCUGUAGCGGACAAGAUUUUGAAAACGAAAAUACCCAAAAAGCGCGAAUAAAUCGUAAAUUAGCAAUCGAUACGUGGGUUUCGCGAACCUUCGUAAUCUGAGACGCGUAAAAGGUAAACAUAAACAUUCAAGGUGAGUCAUCCAUGAGAUGACAGUUCUCAAUACUAACGUGUAUUGGUGUGAGUUUUCUCACGAUGAGUAUCUUUUCUUCUCGCGUAGGCGAUGAAGGUGAACAGAAUAUUCGAGUAGAAAGGCAUUAAUGAAUUUUUUAAUUCACCAUAAUCAUGAAUUGAUUUUUGGUUGAAGUUAAUCAUUAAACCCGACUAAAAUGACAUUCAAAAUGAAAUACUUCAUUUUGAAGGAGGGACGAUGGGGUAAUGUAACCGUUGGUUCCAAUGUUACUUGCUGGCUCCACCAUCAAUCCCAUUUUCCUCCCGAAAACAAUAGACCCUUUCCAUAACUUUAACUAGGAACUGUCCAAACUCACUGGUUGAUGAGUCACGAGUGAGAAGCGUUCCACUUUCAACUCAUACCAGGUCUCAAAAGCGUAUAUACCGGGGUAGUGUGAACAAGACCUAAAAAGAAACCCUAGGCAAAUUCAAGUACCAAUCCACAGAUGGCGCAUAGGUGAAACAUGGUUGCCAAAACACAACAUAAAACAUAGAUGUCAAAUCCAACCUCAGAGAAAGUGGAUUUCUUAUAAAAGGCUGGAUUUGACCAGAAUUUCCCUCUUUGUCCACAACUGAUUCCCAAAUAGUGUAGUGCGCGUAUUGUGUUAAUUCUAAUGGUCAGAACAAUAGACCACCGCAUGGUGAAACUUAUAUUAACUUUUGGUUUCUUUUCUUAAAUAAAAUAGGGUAAAACUUAAAAUACGGUUGUAAACGUUAAAAAAAAACUGUGUUAGUAAAAUGUGUUAGUGUUAAAACGGUUAGUGCGAACAAAAAAAAAGCAAAUUGUAACCUAAAACUAAUUGUUUAAAACUUAUAGCUAUGAAACAGUUAGACAAAGAACAUCGAAAGAACAGAACACUAAAACAGGUUAAAACGCAAGAAAAAGCGGACGGAUCUUCCGUCGGCACUAACAUCGCCGAUUCCCAGUGCAUAGCGGCGGCGCACAUCGGCGCAGCGACCGCCAUUUUGAAACCCCUGAUGACGUCAGAAGCCCGCCAUUGGUCGAAACACUGCCAAUAAUCAUCCGCUUGGAAGUUGGGAACCCUUCCUCGCUUCCGUUGGCAACCUGCUGGAGUUUCAUCUGGUCCGGCAAACCGCUGGCGAUUUAUUACAAGGCUUCUCAUCUACCAGUGACGCCCCCCCCUUUUUCUACGAUGGGCCACCGUCUGGCCCGAAUCUGCCGUGAAAUCAUCAUGCCAACGAUCACCAUGCCGGCAGAGGUCGGAAAGAUACAUCCGGCGUACCUAACCUCAAAUAUCCCACCGGCAAAGGCUGGUCAGAGACCACAGCGUACCAUCCACCGGCUGCGAAAGAUCCGGAUCGGCCACAAACACCUACAAAAUUCCGCAAGUAUUAUCACCCUAGCUAAUGUGACGUCAUAGAUUAGAAUAAACUAUGUAUGUAUUUGUAAAAUGAAUUAGCCUCAGCGGUAGUCAGCUUAUUUAUGAAAGCAGCCCUGGGUAAUGUAACUUUCACCUUUCUUAUUAGUUUUCGUCCACUUUGUUACUCUCAUUCCUCGCUAUUUAGUAAGAUCAUUUGUGUUCAUUGAUAUUCCCCUCCCCCCUUUGUAUGUUUGUGCAGUUUGGUUGACCACUGUUCCAUUAAAACAGCAUCUUUGGCAAGGUUUUCACCACCAACAGUUCCUACUCAUAUUGAUACGGCUCCACGGCUUGUGUAUGAGGGAAAGUAAGCUUUGAACGACCCUGAAAUCCCACCCUAUGAGUUAGCACGUUACAAAUCAAUAAUUUUCGAUCACACGCGUUGAGCCUGCUUUGAAAUUAACCGAGAACUGAAGAGCUAUAUCAAUCCAACUAUAUGGCUAGCUUGCGGUUAUAAUGUGUAGGGGCAGUACUCUCCCGUAUGCAUUGGGUGGUGAUAAGAGCAGUACCACAUGUGAGGGUUACUGCUAUACGUUUAUGGUGCUUAUCAGAGGGGUAUCAAUCUCUCGGUUGUGUCCGAGUGUACAAUAUCCCAGGCUGCUGUACGAUGUUGAUAUGGUUAGCUCUAUUCCCAGGAAUGCUCAGGUAGUCUUCUUCAGGACUUAUCAGGCAUGGAUGCUGUGUUCUGUUGUUGUGUUGUAUGUGUAAUGAGCUUGACAUGGUAAGAUAGACCUAUGCUUUCAUUUUAUACGGCGACCAUGGGAGCUACUUUGAGGCUCUCGCGAGGCCGUCGGUUGUGAGCAGGUUACAACCUCUU